rnacentral:rRNA from 1 species
CCUACGUGUGGCAGCAGUGAGGAAUAUUGGUCAAUGGACGCAAGUCUGAACCAGCCAUGCCGCGUGCAGGAAGACGGCUCUAUGAGUUGUAAACUGCUUUUGUACGAGGGUAACUCACGAUCCGUGUAUCGCGUUGCAUGUAUCUUACUACUAAGGAUCGGCUAACUCCGUGCCAGCAGCCGCGGUAAUACGGAGGAUUCAAGCGUUUUCCGGCUGUAUUGGGUUUAAAGGGUGAGUAGGCGGUGCGGUAAGUUAGAGGUGAAAUCCCGGGGCUCAACUCCGGAACUGCCUUUGAUACUGUCGGGCUAGAGUUUAGUUGCGGUAGGCGGAAUGUAUGGUGUAGCGGUGAAAUGCGUAGAGAUCAUACAGAACACCGAUUGCGAAGGCAGAUUACCGAACUACGACUGACGUUGAGGCACGAAAGCGUGGGGAGCAAACAGGAUUAGAUACCCGAGUAGUC